rnacentral:rRNA from 1 species
AGAGCGAACGCUGGCGGCAGGCUUAACACAUGCAAGUCGAGCGGGCGUAGCAAUACGUCAGCGGCAGACGGGUGAGUAACGCGUGGGAACGUACCUUUUGGUUCGGAACAACCCAGGGAAACUUGGGCUAAUACCGGAUAAGCCCUUACGGGGAAAGAUUUAUCGCCGAAAGAUCGGCCCGCGUCUGAUUAGCUAGUUGGUGAGGUAAUGGCUCACCAAGGCGACGAUCAGUAGCUGGUCUGAGAGGAUGAUCAGCCACAUUGGGACUGAGACACGGCCCAAACUCCUACGGGAGGCAGCAGUGGGGAAUAUUGGACAAUGGGCGCAAGCCUGAUCCAGCCAUGCCGCGUGAGUGAUGAAGGCCCUAGGGUUGUAAAGCUUCUUUUGUGCGGGAAGAUAAUGACGGUACCGCAAGAAUAAGCCCGGCUAACUUCGCGCCAGCAGCCGC